rnacentral:misc_RNA from 1 species
GGAAAACAGUCCAAGCCCUUGUCUCUUUCAUAAGUUGUAUCAAUUUCUUGAUUGCUCCCUCUGUUUGUUGUUCUUUCUUUCACUCCCUUGAUGGCUGUGUUUGGAGCCAAUCGAUCGGUUUUCAAAUGUACAUUGAUAAUUCUCUUUAGCUUCCUGUUAGCUCCUUCUGUUUUAGUUUCUGCUAAAAGAAGCAUCCAACAUGAACAAGUGACAAGAUUGAGCAGAGAAGAAGCAGCAGCAGCUGAAUCCAAUUUCCUUGUCAAAGCUUCAAAUUUCUUAUGGCAGGCAGACCAAUCUCGCUAUCAACAUGUUUGGCCAGACAUGAAAUUUGAAUGGCAAGUUGUUAUUGGAACCAUAAUUGGAUUUUUUGGAGCUGCCUUUGGGAGUGUCGGUGGUGUUGGUGGCGGAGGCAUAUUUGUUCCCAUGCUAACCAUGAUUAUUGGGUUUGAUCCAAAAUCUGCAACAGCCAUAUCGAAGUGUAAGUGAGAAGCAGAAGUUGAAGAAGAGAUAUACGUUUAAAUUCCCAUAUCAUCUCUCUUUUGUUCAGGUAUGAUCAUGGGUGCUGCAGCCUCCUCCGUGUAUUAUAACCUGAAACUCAGACAUCCUACACUUGAUUUGCUCAUAGUAGACUAUGACCUGGUGCUGCUUAUUCAACCUGUGCUCCUCCUGGGCAUCAGUAUAGGAGUAACUUUAAAUGUCAUAUUCCCUGAUUGGGUGGUCACAGUUCUUCUAAUUAUUCUUCUUCUAGGAACAUCUGUCAAAGCAUACUUCAAGGGUGUUGAUACCUGGAAGAAAGAAACCACAUUGAAAGAGGUAUCAUUAAACGCACCUGAAAUUACUUUCAAAUGGGUCAACUGAGUUAAAUCUCACUUGGUUUUGAUUUCAGAAGGCUGCCGAGAGUCUAGUGCCAACAGGUGGCAAUGAGCAAGUGGAAUACAGCCAGCUUCCAGGAGGCCCAAGCAAGAGUCCUCAUCAAAAAGACACCAAGGAACGAGAGGUUACCCAAUUUUAUAUACUCUGGAAACUUUAGCACAACAGAGCUAUGCAAUAUGUGUAGUUUAAUGCAACACUUGCAGGUUACAGUUGUUCAAAACAUGUAUUGGAAGGAAUUUGGACUUCUUGUUUUUGUUUGGAUGGCAUUCCUUGCAUUGCGGAUUGCCAAGAACUAUACACCCACUUGCUCCACAACAUACUGGCUAUUGAACCUAUCGCAGGUCCCUGUCUCCAUUGGGGUGUUUCUGUACGAGGCAUUUGGACUUUACACAGGAAGGAAAAGAAUUGCAUCCAAGGGAGACGAAGGCAUGAAUUGGAAAGCACACAAGCUGCUUGGCUUUUUCGCUUGUGGUUUGCUGGCUGGAAUAGUUGGUGGAUUGCUUGGACUUGGUGGAGGAUUUGUUAUGGGUCCACUAUUUUUGGAGCUGGGAAUCCCUCCUCAGGUGACAAGUGCCACAGCUGCGUUUGGGAUGACCUUCUCAUCAUCCAUGUCUGUUGUAGAAUAUUACCUUCUAAAUCGUUUUCCUAUUCCCUAUGCUCUCUACUUCACUGUUGUGGCCACCAUUGCAGCCUUUAUGGGGCAGCAUAUCAUAAAUAAGCUCAUCGCCAUGACUGGAAGGGCAUCUCUCAUCAUUUAUGUACCAGCCUUCACAAUAUUUGUCAGUGCACUCUCACUUGGUGGGGUUGGCAUCAGCAACAUGAUUGGGAAGAUAGAGAGGGGUGAAUCCAUGGGAUUUGAAAACCUAUGCAACUAUGAAGCAUAGUAGCUAGUUGUGGUUCCUUCUAUGGAAAAGAAAAAUGCACAAAAAAAUAUCAUUUCUUAUUUGGGGAAAUGUUGUGUUUGUAAUUGUGGUUGCAUCAUUCCAUUUCAUAGGCAAAAUGCAUAUGGGCACUCUGAACCUAUGCCUUUUAAUUUGGGUUCAUAACUGUUCCUUUUAAUAAUGUUUUUUUAAUGAUUU